rfam:Alligator mississippiensis ScZkoYb_4042, whole genome shotgun sequence.
CCAACGGCUCUUUUAAGAGCCACCCACCCUUUCCUAAAAGGAGCUG